CACAAACUGAUCCAUGACAGAAUGCAGAUCAGGCGAAGAAGGACAGUGACAAAUGCCUAUAACGGCAAAAAUUUUCCGAUUGGAUUGAAAAUCUUCCCAAGGACUAGCCGGUGAACCACCGACCAUGUAUUUGAACCGUAGGCUACCGGAAUCCCAAGGUUGAUGAGCGAAAGGAGAUUUUUGAUGUUCUGUGUAGAAUGAACUGAUGGAAGAUAAUGAUACUGUGUAGUGACGAACUAGCAUAGAAGUGUAGUCGCGGAAUAAAGGGAUUGCUAUAGAUCCGAUUGGUAGAACUGCUACUCGGAUCAUACAACUUGUUUCGAUGCUCACGUCGGGUUCCAUUUCGAACUCUGCCGGGAAAUGAUCGCCGGAGAAGAUGGAAAGUGGAGAUUGGCAGCUCCGGCGAAGCGGUUUUUAGAUCAGAUAUUAAGCAUAGGACGG
rnacentral:misc_RNA from 1 species